rnacentral:rRNA from 1 species
UACAGAGGGUGCAAGCGUUGCUCGGAUUUACUGGGCGUAAAGCGUACGCAGACGGUGAGAAAGGUCGGAUGUGAAAGCCCCGGGCUCAACCCGGGAACUGCAUCCGAAACCAUCUCGCUCGGGUGUGGGAGAGGGAAGCGGAAUUCCUGGUGUAGAGGUGAAAUUCGUAGAUAUCAGGAGGAACACCGGCGGCGAAGGCGGCUUCCUGGCCCAUUACUGACGCUGAGGUGCGAAAGCGUGGGGAGCAAACAGG